rnacentral:ncRNA from 1 species
CGGACAACAUGUCCGUUGGGAUGUGGCCCCACGUGGGCUGAACCGUAAG